rnacentral:rRNA from 1 species
AUUGAACGCUGGCGGCAUGCCUUACACAUGCAAGUCGAACGGCAGCACGGGUGCUUGCACCUGGUGGCGAGUGGCGAACGGGUGAGUAAUACAUCGGAACGUACCUUAUCGUGGGGGAUAACGCAGCGAAAGUUGCGCUAAUACCGCAUACGCCCUGAGGGGGAAAGCGGGGGACCGUAAGGCCUCGCGCGAUUAGAGCGGCCGAUGUCUGAUUAGCUUGUUGGUGAGGUAAAAGCUCACCGAGGCGAUGAUCAGUAGCUGGUCUGAGAGGACGAUCAGCCACACUGGGACUGAGACACGGCCCAGACUCCUACGGGAGGCAGCAGUGGGGAAUUUUGGACAAUGGGGGCAACCCUGAUCCAGCAAUGCCGCGUGAGUGAAGAAGGCCUUCGGGUUGUAAAGCUCUUUUGUCAGGGAAGAAACAGCAGCUCUAACACAGUCUGCGAAUGACGGUACCUGAAGAAUAAGCACCGGCUAACUACGU